rnacentral:rRNA from 1 species
UGGGGAAUCUUCCGCAAUGGACGAAAGUCUGACGGAGCGACGCCGCGUGAGUGAUGAAGGCCUUCGGGUCGUAAAGCUCUGUCAUCGGGGACGAACGGCUUUAUCAGGAAAUGGGUAGAGAUUGACGGUACCCGAGAAGGAAGCCACGGCUAACUACGUGCCAGCAGCCGCGGUAAUACGUAGGUGGCGAGCGUUGUCCGGAAUUAUUGGGCGUAAAGCGCGCGCAGGUGGGAUCUUAAGUCUGCUUUAAAAGUGCGGAGCUCAACUCCGUGAUGGGGUAGAAACUGGGAUUCUUGAGUACCGGAGAGGAAAGCGGAAUUCCCCGUGUAGCGGUGAAAUGCGUAGAUAUGGGGAGGAACACCAGUGGCGAAGGCGGCUUUCUGGACGGUGUCUGACACUGAGGCGCGAAAGCCAGGGGAGCGAACGGG